rnacentral:rRNA from 1 species
GACGAACGCUGGCGGCGUGCUUAACACAUGCAAGUCGAACGGAAAGGCCCUGCUUUUGUGGGGUGCUCGAGUGGCGAACGGGUGAGUAACACGUGAGUAACCUGCCCUUGACUUUGGGAUAACUUCAGGAAACUGGGGCUAAUACCGGAUAGGAGCUCCUGCUGCAUGGUGGGGGUUGGAAAGUUUCGGCGGUUGGGGAUGGACUCGCGGCUUAUCAGCUUGUUGGUGGGGUAGUGGCUUACCAAGGCUUUGACGGGUAGCCGGCCUGAGAGGGUGACCGGCCACAUUGGGACUGAGAUGCGGCCCAGACUCCUACGGGAGGCAGCAGUGGGGAAUAUUGCACAAUGGGCGGAAGCCUGAUGCAGCAACGCCGCGUGCGUGAUGACGGCCUUCGGGUUGUAGACCGCUUUCGCCUGUGACGAAGCGUGAGUGACGGUAAUGGGUAAAGAAGCACCGGCUAACUACGUG